UACAAUACAUAGAUUAUUGAGAUAGCUCUCAUAUUCAUCAUCAUCAUCCUAGAAGAGGUUAUUAAAUAAAUUUGACUCAUCAUAUUCUUGUGCACCCCCAAAUUCCAUUUCUGAUGAUGAAUCAGAUAAUUUAGCCCAACUCGGUGACCAAAUUAUAUAAGGAUUCAAUAGUUUUAUCAAAAAAUUAAAUAAAUUCAUCUCAUCAUACUCUCAUGUAGUCCCAACUUCCAUCUCCAAUGACAAAUCAGAUGAUUUAGCCCC
rnacentral:lncRNA from 1 species